AAUGAGAUAGUUGGGUCAAAUGGUGGUUCCAUUCCAAGUUUUCUAAGGAAUCUCCAUAUUGCUUUCCAGACUGGUUGCACCAAUUUGUAGUCCCACCAGCAAA
rnacentral:pre_miRNA from 1 species